GUAGGUGGCAAGCGUUGUCCGGAAUUAUUGGGCGUAAAGCGCGCGCAGGCGGUUCUUUAAGUCUGAUGUGAAAGCCCACGGCUCAACCGUGGAGGGUCAUUGGAAACUGGAGAACUUGAGUACAGAAGAGGAAAGCGGAAUUCCACGUGUAGCGGUGAAGUGCGUAGAGAUGUGGAGGAACACCAGUGGCGAAGGCGGCUUUCUGGUCUGUAACUGACGCUGAGGCGCGAAAGCGUGGGGAGCAAACAGGGAUUAGAUACCCUGGUAGUCCACGCCGUAAACGAUGAGUGCUAAGUGUUAGGGGGGUUUCCGCCCCCUUAGUGCUGCAGCUAACGCAUUAAGCACUCCGCCUGGGGAUACGGCCGCAAGGCUG
rnacentral:rRNA from 1 species